CCACAAUAUGUUCUUACUGUUUUCAAAGGAGUUUGCACAUAGUGCCAGAAGCUGUAUAAAUACAUUUAACAAUGUAUAUUUCAAGAAGAAAUGAUGCUUUCUUAUUUCUAAGAGUUUAUCAAUAGGAUGAAUGCCACAAAACUCACCUGUUAUGCCAGAAACUCUUCCUACGAAACUUCCAUACUAGAAUUUGUCCAGUGCCUGUGAUCCUCUGAGUUGAAGGAGAAUGUUCUCCAUAAUACCUACUAGGAGCUUUCUGAUAGCUGGAAGUUUAUGAAUACUAUGUUGUCCUUGAUUUGAUGACUCUGAAAACUACCAUUUCUGAAGACGUGAGCAUUAUUUCUAUAAUUUAAAAAAAUCUUUUCAGGAAAUAUUGUGUUUAUAAUAUUAAGAAAGUGAAGAUAAUAUUGU